GGGGUUUCAUCGUGUUAGCCAGGAUGGUCUUGAUCUCCUGACCUCAUGAUCCACCCGCCUUGGCCUGCCAGAGUGCUGGAAUUACAGGCGUGAUUUAGUAGGUAGUUUUGAGUAGGGAGUAUACAUUUAAAAUGCUGAAACUCAGUUAAGGAAUAAUCUAAUACUGUAUUCAACUGAAACUCAGUUGAGAAAUUUCUUUCCAAUAAUAAAGGAAAAUCAACUGCAGUAAUGAGGGAGAUGAUUUUGCUGCUAAUUACAACAAAUAUUUACUACAGACCUGUUAUGCACCAGGAACUGUGCUAAAUGUUUUAUACAUAUAACUUUAUCUUGUGCUCCAACAACUUAUUACAUAGAAAUUGCUAUUAUUCCCAUUUUCUAGAUUAAUAAAUUGGUUUAGAGGGGUCGUAUAGGUGAAACAACUCACUCAAUAUCACAAGCUGUUAUGUGGUGAAGUUUGCAUGAUCAGUACAGGGUUCUGGUCAUCCCACUCAUUGAGUGGUGCUAGUCAAGAUCUGGAAGCUCUUCUGGUCUUAGUUUCUCUAGCCGUGAAGUGACAAUGAUUAGGUCUAAUCAUAGAACAUGAGAGUACAUGUGAAAAAAUGCCUUUUUAAAGAGUAUGAAAAACUUGAGUUGUAAAAUUUUCUUGUGGAUAAUUUAUUAUUGCUUUUCUUUUUUAGAUAACACUAACAAAGUUGACCUUAGAAUUGGAGUGCCUGGGUUAGAACCCUGCUGGUACCACCUGCUUACUGCAUGCUUCUGAUGUGAGUUCAGGAGAAGACACUGGCAAGGACAGCAAAGAACAGGAGAACACUCUAGCUUCCCUGAUAGCAUUCAAGGUGCUGUCCAAACUGACUGUGAUGGCACCCUCCAGACAGACAGCGAUGCCACAUGUUCAAGAUGGCAGAAUCACUAUCAGCUUCAAUUCCUGAAUGACUGCAGAGCAAAAUUUCUUACCUGCAACAUACACUCUAUUUUCAGCCUCCCUGGACUGUUACAUAAUGAUACAUAAAAAUAUUUCUUGUGUUGAGGCAUCCCAAAUUUGAUUUAUUUGUCAUCACAGUCUAUCCUAUGAAUAUAUUUCUGAUCCAAAUAAUGCUAGAUUCAUGAGAGUUUAUAGUCCAGAGAUUUUUUUUUUUUUUUUGAGACAGAAUCUGUCUCCCAGGCUGGGGUGCAGUGGCAUAAUCUUAGCUCACUGCAACCUCUGCCUCCCGGGCUCAAGUGAUCCUCCCUCCUUAGCCUCCAUGAGUAGCUGGGACCACAGGUGUGCACCACCACACCCCGCUAAUUAUUUUGUAUUUUUUGCAGAGGGGGGUUUCACCACAUUGCCCAAGCUGGUCUCAAACUCCUAGACUUAAGGGAUCUGCCUGCCUUGGCCUCCCAAAAUGCUGAAAUUACACUUGUUAGCCAUAGUAAUAGUUCCUAGCCAUAGUCCGGAGAUAUUUUAAAAACUUUAGUGUGAGUUAUUUCUCUUUGCUAUAAUUCUCUCAUGCAUUUUGAAAACCUUUUCUGCCAUACAGUGGUUUUUGGGAAGUCCUUUUGGACAGACAUAUCACAGGAUGGAGAAACUAAAAAGAGAGAAUGCAUUAAAGAAAAAAUAGUACUUCGUAUUUCAGAAAUUACAAAAGGGUGUCAUGCCCCACAGCAUGGUGGGCAGUCAUUUGUAACCCACAGAACAUUGAGUUUCUAAAAUUUGAGUGUUUUUAACUUACGAAGGCCAACUUUACUGAUGAAGUGAUUACCCCAAAUAUGUGAAAUCCAUAUUUCAAGUACAAUAGUAGGAAAUUGGAAAUGGGUAGGUAUAUUUCUGACUGUCAAAGAGUACAAAGUAAAGAGGGGCCCCUGAAGAGUGACACUACUGGAAAAACAGAAGAAAAAAAAAACUGUUUCUUUUUUUAAAGAGCAGUCAACCUCAAACUUACUACUAAUGACUGUAUUUCAUUUCAGUCUACCCCAGUGGUUUUGUUUCUCAUAGACUGUAGAAUGUAAGCCUUUUUGGUCAUUCUGACAGAUUUUCCAGCACAAAGAAUAUCAGGGGAUUAACUGACAAAUCAUGGGUAUUUUUGGCAAGAUAGUAGAUUAACCCUGGAAAUUUUCUCCAUCUAUGAGAAAAAAAGACAUGUGCCACCUGAGGGUUACAAAGACUGUUGGUGGCUGACCUCAGGCUCCUGUCUUUUAUUUUAUUUUAUUUUUUUACCAUUUUACCUCUGCCCUGUUUUUUUAAAUUAUUAUUAUUUUACUUUAAGUUCUGGGAUACAUGUGCAGAACUGCGGGUUUGUUACAUGUGCCAUGGUGGUUUGCUGCACCUAUCAACCCGUCAUCUAGGUUUUAAGUCCCACAUGCAUUAGGUAUUUGUCGUAAUGCUCUCCCUCCCCUUGGGCCCCACCCCUCAACGCGCCCCACCCCUCAACAGGCCCCAGGGUGUGAUGUUCCUCUCUGUGUGUCCUUGUGUUCUCACUGUUCAGCUCCCACUUAUGAGUGAGAACACACAGUGUUUGGUUUUCUGUUCCUGUGUUAGUUGGCUGAGAAUUAUGGCUUGCAGCUUCAUCCAUGUCCCUGUAAAGGACAUGAACCCAUUAUUUUUUGUGGCUGCAUAGUAUUCCAUGGUAUAUGCCAUGUGCCAUGUUUGCUUUAUCAUUGAUGGGCAUUUGGGUUGGUUCCAAGUCUUUUCUAUUGUAAUUAGUGCUGCAAUAAGCAUACGUGUGCAUGUGUCUUUAUAGUAGAAUGAUUUAUAAUCCUUUGGGUAUAUACCCAGUAAUGGGAUUGCUGGGUCAAAUGGUAUUUCUGGUUCUAGAUGCUUGAGGAAUCAUCACACUGUCUUCCACAAUGGUUGAACUAAUUUACACUCCCACAAACAGUGUAAAAGCGUUCCUAUUUCUCCACAGCAUCACCAGCAUCUGUUGUUUCCUGACUUCUUAAUAAUUGCCAUUCUAACUGGUGUGAGAUGGUAUCUCAUCAUGGUUUUGAUUUGCAUUUUUCUAAUGACCAGUGAUGAUGAGUUUUUUUCAUAUGUUUGUUGGCCAAAUAAAUGUCUUCUUUUGAGAAGUAUCUGUUCAUAUCCUUUGCCCAUUUAUUGAUGGGGUUGCUUGAUUUUUUUCUUGUAAAUUUGUUUUCAGUUCCUUGUAAAUUCUAGAUAUUAGACCUUUGUCAGAUGGGUAGACUGCAAAAAUUUUCUCCCAUUCUAUAGGUUGCUUGUUCACUAUGGUGAUAAUUUCUUUUGCUGAACAGAAGCUCUUUAGUUAAUUAGAUCCCAUUUGUCAAUUUUGGCUUUUGUUGCCAUUGCUUUUGAUGCUUUAGUCAUGAAGUCUCUGCCCAUGCCUGUGUCCUGAAUGGUAUUGCCUGGGUUUUCUUCUAGGGUUUUUAUGGUUUGGGGUUUUACAUUCAAGGCUUUAAUCCAUCUUGAGUUAAUUUUUGUAUAAGGUAUAAGGAAGGGGUUCAGUUUCUGUUUACUGCAUAUGGCUAGCCAGUUUUCCUAGCACCAUUUAUUAAAUAGAAAGUCCUUUCCCCAUUGCUUGUUUUUGUCAGGUUUGUCAAAGGUCAGAUGGUUGUAGAUGUGUGGUGUUAUUUCUGAGGUCUCUGUUUCAUUGGUCUAUAUAUCUGUUUUGGUACCAGUACCAUGCUGUUUUGGUUACUGUAGCCUUGUAGUAUAGUUUGAAGUCAGGUAGUAUGAUGCCUCCAGCUUUGUUCUUUUUGCUUAGGAUUGUCUUGGCUAUAUGGGCUCUUUUUUGGUUCCAGAUGAAAUUUAAAGUAGUUUUUUUCUAAUGCUGCAAAAAAAGUCAAUGUUAGCUUGAUGGGAGUAGCAUUGAAUCUAUACAUUACUUUGCUCUGCCCCUGUUUAUACAUACAUGACUGAUAUGGUUUGGCUGUGUCCCUGCCCAAAUCUCAUCUUGAAUUCCCACAUGUUGUGGGAGGAACCUGGGGGGAGGCAACUGAUCAUGGGGCAAGUCUUUGCCAUGCUGUUCUUGUGAUAGUGAAUAAGUCUCAUGAGAUCUGACGGUUUUAAAAAGAGGAGUUCCCCUGCACAAAUUCUCUCUCUUUGCCUGCUGCCAUCCAUGUAAGGCAUGACUUACUCCUCCUUGCCUUCUGCCAUGAUUGUGGGGCUUCCUCAGCCAUGUGAAACUGUAAGUCCAAUUAAACAUCUUUCUUUUGUAAAUUGCCCCGUCUCAGGUAUGUCUUUAUCAGCAGUGUGAAAAUGGACUAAUACAAUGAUACAAGAGUAGUUAGAACAGUAUUUAUAAAUGUGCCAAUGUUAAUCAACAUAGGAGUUAACGAUUCCCUGUUUUUCUGUGAUUUCUCAUGCACCAAAAAUAUAUUAAGAUAAAAUAUACAAUUUUCAUUCACUAUUAAGUGACUAACCUCAUAUUGCUUUCAAAGGCAUUUAUUGGCACCUACUAUGUGUGAAUACACUCAGCUUGCUUAUGUGAAAGCUGAAUAACAAAGUGGUUAUGUAACUUAAUGAAGGUCCCACAACUAGGAAGUGGUAGAGUAACUUUCUAAACCACUUUCCUCCCAGUUUAGUUUCACAUUCAUGUGUUCAGUCAACAAGCACUUAUGGAAUCCUGAUGCUGGGCCCUACUUUAUGGUAGACACUGAAGAUACAGACUUUGUCCCUGCCCUCAUGGAGUUCACAGUUCAGGAGGGAAACCAGAUUUAAUCAAAUAACCACACAAAAAUUUGCUCGUAAAAUGAAACCAAUGCUAUAAGGAAAAUGAACAGGGUGAUUUGAGAGCAUAUAAUAGGAUUUUAUCAUAUCUGAUGAUUCAGAGUAAUGUUCUCCUAUAGAAGAGAUGUGGGAACUGACAUCUGAAGUGUCAGUGUUAGUUAGCCAGGUGUGGUAUAUAAAAGAUGACCAGCUUAUCCACCAAGAGGUAGAAUUGCUUUCCCCAUGCAUUAAAUCUGGACUGGCCUUUGACUUGCAGUGUCCAACAGAUAAAGUGGAAGUUUCUGCUCUUGCUCCCUUGGAAUAUUGUUCUGAGACUGCCAGCUGAAGAAGUCUAGUCUAGUCUAGUUUAUUAGUGGAUGAGAGGCUGGUAGAAAAGCGAAAAACUGUUGCAGCUGAGUCCCCUGAGUCCAACCAGUUGACAGCCUGCAGCGACUGUGUGAGGCCAUCUUAGAUUAUUCAGCCCCACUACAGAUGCCAAAUAUCUGCAGCUGUAAAAGUGAUUCCAGGCAAUAACAGAAGAACCAUCCUGCUGAUCCUAGCCCAAAUUGCUGGCCAUAGAACCAUGAGCUAAUAAGACAGCUGUGGUUAUAAUAUAUUGAGUUUGGGGUUGGCAUGUUACAUGGCAGUCAGUUAUUGAUACCCUGAGAGAAGUAUGGAAGCUGGGACUGAAUUCUAGGAAGAGGGAAAGAUAUAGGCAAAGGUCCUGAGGAGGGAAGAAUAAACUUUUAGAGAACUGAAAGAAAGAUGAUGAGAUAGAAGACUUCAGAGGGCUAGGCAAGGCCCAAGUCUAAAAGCAGUGUCUUAGAAUCUGUCAAAAAUCUCAUCUUUUUAUUGUUGUUUGGAACAAAGUCUUUCUUUAUUGCCUAGGCUGCAGUCAUGCAGUGGCACAAUUAAAGCUCACUUCAGCCUCGACCUCCUGAGCUCAAGCAAUCAGCCUCCUGACUAGCUGGGACUACAGGUGUGGAUGACUAUACCCAGCUAUUUUUUUUUUUUUAUUUUUUGUAGAAACAGGGUCUUACCAUGUUGCUCAGGCUGGUCUCAGACUUCUGGGCUCAAGCAAUCCUCCUGCCUCAGCCUCCCAAAGUGUUUGGAUUAUAGGCAUGAGCUAGCAUGCUCGGCUGUGAGUUCAAUUUUUUUCUUUAAAAGCAAGAGAAAGUCACUGUAGAGAUUUUGAGCUCAGAAGUGUCAUGAAUAGACUUGCACAUGUGCAUAUAUUGUUUUUUUUUUUUUUCACCAGGCGCAAACUUAUGGUGGAAGGGACCUACAUUAAGCACACAUAAGUAGAAGCUGGCCAGGCACGGUGGCUCAUGCCUGUAAUCCCAGCACUUUGGGAGGCCGAGACUGGUGGAUCACGAGGUCAGGAGAUCGAGACCAUCCUGGCUAACAUGGUGAAACCCCGUCUCUAUCAAAAAUACAAAAAAAAAUUAGCCAGGUAUGGUGGGGGGCGCCUAUACUCCCAGCUACUCGGGAGGCUAAGGCAGAAGAACGGC
rnacentral:lncRNA from 1 species